CCUGGCGGCCGUAGCGCGGUGGUCCCACCUGACCCCAUGCCGAACUCAGAAGUGAAACGCCGUAGCGCCGAUGGUAGUGUGGGGGUCUCCCCAUGCGAGAGUAGGGAACUGCCAGGC
rnacentral:rRNA from 1 species